GAAGAAAUUAUCCGGAAACUACUUAUUGAGAGCACGCGCUGCAUCCACCCUUUCCAACAUGGUAUCGAGAGAGAACAUGCUGUGUUGUCCGUAAGUCCAUCGCCAGAGUCCUGAAUGUAAUCAACCAGACAUAGAAGGAGAACCUGAGGAAGUUCCACAAGCUGUGUUGUCAGUAAGUCCAUCGCCAGAGUCCUGAAUGUAAUCAACCAGACAUAGAAGGAGAACCUGAGCAAGUUCCACAAGGGUAAGAAGUACAACCCCCUGUAUCUGAGGCCAAGGAAGACCAGAGCCUUGUGCCGCCGGCUCAACCAGCACGAAGAGUCUCUACGGAACAAGAAACGGCAGAGGAAGGACCUUUACUCAAUCCGCAUAUUCACUGUCAAAGCUUGGAGGCUUUUUCUAUUGAAAAAAUAAAAUCUGUGUAAACGAC